UCAGGCCUAACACAUGCAAGUCGAACGAGAUCUUCGGAUCUAGUGGCGCACGGGUGAGUAACGCGUGGGAACCUACCUUUUAGUACGGGACAACGUUUGGAAACGAACGCUAAUACCGUAUACGCCCUCCGGGGGAAAGGUCAGCCGCUGAAAGAGGGGCCCGCGUCUGAUUAGCUUGUUGGUAAGGUAACGGCUUACCAAGGCAACGAUCAGUAGCUGGUCUGAGAGGAUGAUCAGCCACACUGGGACUGAGACACAGCCCAGACUCCUACGGGAGGCAGCAGUGGGGAAUAUUGGACAAUGGAGGCAACUCUGAUCCAGCAAUGCCGCGUGUGUGAUGAAGGCCCUAGGGUUGUAAAGCACUUUCAACGGUGAAGAUGAUGACGGUAGCCGUAGAAGAAGCCCCGGCUAACUUCGUGCCAGCAGCCGCGGUAAUACGAAGGGGGCGAGCGUUAUUCGGAAUUAUUGGGCGUAAAGGGCUCGCAGGCUGCUUGAACAGUUAGACGUGAAAUCCCCGGGCUUAACCUGGGAACUGCGUUUAAUACUAGCAAGCUAGAGAAAUAGAGAGGAAAGUGGAACUCCCAGUGUAGAGGUGAAAUUCGUAGAUAUUGGGAAGAACACCAGUGGCGAAAGCGACUUUCUGGCUAUUUUCUGACGCUGAGGAGCGAAAGCGUGGGGAGCAAACAGGAUUAGAUACCCU
rnacentral:rRNA from 1 species